GAAAGCAUGUCAAAAGAACGCGCGCCACUUGCAGCAUUCUCGAAAAUUCAAUCUCCGCCAGCUUAGAGCCCCUGAAUAGCUUCGGAAACAAAAUUCAAUCGCUUGCUGCUCUCAAUUUUGUCUCCAGAAUAUCACACUAAACCUACCCAAUCACCAAAAAGUCUGCAGCUAAGGCGAGCGCGAAGAAGCGACUUCGUCACUCUGUAGUCGACGACGAGUUGGAUCUCAAUCUUUCAAGCGAUCUCAAAGGGAUCAUGUCGGCGCUGGACCAGAUAAGAGAUAAGAGAGGAGACGAUUUCGAGUGUAGCAUAUGAGAUCAAGUCUACGGUUGAUGAGUUGAAGAAGUCGAAGCUUGAGAAGGAUAGUACAUCUAAAUCGAUUAUUCUAGCUUUGAAAUUGAAUCCUCAUCAUAUGCAACUUUCCUCAUUUCAUGAUGUGUCUGGUAUUCUUAUCAUGUUUCUGCACUUUGCGGUAUGAAAGUUGCUUGAAAGAUUAGACCUUCAAGUUCAAAGAUAUCCAUGAGAAGUUCUGCAAGGACAAAGAUGCCCAUGUGCAGUUCUAAAAAGGUAUUCAAUUGGCAGCAGUAUUCAGUGAUCAUCUGCGAGAAUUACGUUGAUGUUUGUGUUUAGGACCAUUCCGAUAAUUGUCCUACUCUGGCUCAUCCUUACCGUUUUGGGUAAUGAACAUGAAAUCAUCUAUAUCUCCUGGUGGCAAUGUUGUAAUGCUACCUAAAUGUAGCUUACAUAGGGUUGACACCCAGCAGCAAUAUUGUAGCCCAGGCAUCAGUCAAGCAUCAUUGAACAAUUAACAGCUAUGCUUUGCCAUUUUUACAUUGUUGAAUGGAAUGUUAUAUGUCGAGAGAUUGAGAAAAAUUAGUGUAGCUUUAAAUUA